UACGUAGGACCCAAGCGUUAUCCGGAGUGACUGGGCGUAAAGAGUUGCGUAGGUGGCUUGUAAAGUGAAUAGUGAAAUCUGGGGGCUCAACCUCACAGGCUAUUAUUCAAACUCACAAGCUCGAGAACAGCAGAGGUAACUGGAAUUUCUGAAGUAGGGGUAAUAUCCGUAGAUAUCAGAAGGAACACCAAUGGCGUAGGCAGGUUACUGGGCUGUUUCUGACACUGAGGCACGAAAGCGUGGGGAGCGAACCGG
rnacentral:rRNA from 1 species